rnacentral:rRNA from 1 species
GACGAACGCUGGCGGCGUGCUUAACACAUGCAAGUCGAACGGAAAGGCCCUGCUUUUGUGGGGUGCUCGAGUGGCGAACGGGUGAGUAACACGUGAGUAACCUGCCCUUGACUUUGGGAUAACUUCAGGAAACUGGGGCUAAUACCGGAUAGGAGCUCCUGCUGCAUGGUGGGGGUUGGAAAGUUUCGGCGGUUGGGGAUGGACUCGCGGCUUAUCAGCUUGUUGGUGGGGUAGUGGCUUACCAAGGCUUUGACGGGUAGCCGGCCUGAGAGGGUGACCGGCCACAUUGGGACUGAGAUACGGCCCAGACUCCUACGGGAGGCAGCAGUGGGGAAUAUUGCACAAUGGGCGGAAGCCUGAUGCAGCAACGCCGCGUGCGGGAUGACGGCCUUCGGGUUGUAAACCGCUUUCGCCUGUGACGAAGCGUGAGUGACGGUAAUGGGUAAAGAAGCACCGGCUAACUACGUGCCAGCAGCCGCGGUGAUACGUAGGGUGCGAGCGUUGUCCGGAUUUAUUGGGCGUAAAGGGCUCGUAGGUGGUUGAUCGCGUCGGAAGUGUAAUCUUGGGGCUUAACCCUGAGCGUGCUUUCGAUACGGGUUGACUUGAGGGAGGUAGGGGAGAAUGGAAUUCCUGGUGGAGCGGNGGAAUGCGCAGAUAUCAGGAGGAACACCAGUGGCGAAGGCGGUUCUCUGGGCCUUUCCUGACGCUGAGGAGCGAAAGCGUGGGGAGCGAACAGGCUUAGAUACCCUGGUAGUCCACGCUGUAAACGGUGGGUACUAGGUGUGGGGUCCAUUCCACGGGUUCCGUGCCGCAGCUAACGCUUUAAGUACCCCGCCUGGGGAGUACGGCCGCAAGGCUAAAACUCAAAGGAAUUGGCGGGGCCCCGCACAAGCGGCGGAGCAUGCGGAUUAAUUCGAUGCAACGCGUAGAACCUUACCUGGGUUUGACAUGGAUCGGGAGUGCUCAGAGAUGGGUGUGCCUCUUUUGGGGUCGGUUCACAGGUGGUGCAUGGCUGUCGUCAGCUCGUGUCGUGAGAUGUUGGGUUAAGUCCCGCAACGAGCGCAACCCUUGUUCACUGUUGCCAGCACGUUAUGGUGGGGACUCAGUGGAGACCGCCGGGGUCAACUCGGAGGAAGGUGGGGAUGACGUCAAGUCAUCAUGCCCCUUAUGUCCAGGGCUUCACGCAUGCUACAAUGGCUGGUACAGAGAGUGGCGAGCCUGUGAGGGUGAGCGAAUCUCGGAAAGCCGGUCUCAGUUCGGAUUGGGGUCUGCAACUCGACCUCAUGAAGUCGGAGUCGCUAGUAAUCGCAGAUCAGCAACGCUGCGGUGAAUAAAUUCCCGGGGCU